rnacentral:rRNA from 1 species
CCUACGGGAGGCUGCAGUGAGGAAUAUUGGUCAAUGGACGCAAGUCUGAACCAGCCAUGCCGCGUGCAGGAUGACGGCUCUAUGAGUUGUAAACUGCUUUUGUACGAGGGUAAACCCCGAUACGUGUAUCGGGUUGAAAGUAUCGUACGAAUAAGGAUCGGCUAACUCCGUGCCAGCAGCCGCGGUAAUACGGAGGAUCCGAGCGUUAUCCGGAUUUAUUGGGUUUAAAGGGUGCGUAGGCGGUUUGAUAAGUUAGAGGUGAAAUGUCGGGGCUCAACCCCGAAACUGCCUCUAAUACUGUUGGACUAGAGACGGCGAGAAGUACGCGGAAUGCGCGGUGUAGCGGUGAAAUGCAUAGAUAUCGCGCAGAACUCCGAUUGCGAAGGCAGCGUACCGGCGCCGGACUGACGCUGAGGCACGAAAGCGUGGGUAUCGAACAGGAUUAGAUACCCUUGUAGUC